GAGAAAAUGUAGAAAGAGAUGUAGAUCGGAGUCUUACAAGGUAGGUCAAACGCUUACUGGAAACAACAACAAAAAAGGGCAAAGGAGAAAGCAACCCGGUGGAGGUAGCACAUGAUAUUCUCAAUAUUAUUCUAAAUGAGCUCUUAUGCAAUUCAGCGGUGCAAUGUAGUAUUUAUGAGUCGAAUACACAGAGACUCAUGAUUACUCAAUAGAUUUUACUUUUUGAAUUAAACUAAACAUUAGUAGAUAUAAUGCAAACUAGAUACUAACCCGCGCUAUGCGCGGAAAUUAUUUAAACGAAUCUUUGCACAAUAGAUAUUUUUAAUAUAUUUGUGUAUAUAAUAUAGUUUGUGGAUAUAUAAUAUACACGAGUAUUUGUUUCCCUUCCAUAUAAGUAUAUAUAUAAAUUUUCGUUUUCUAAAACCCAAUAUUUAUAAGCUAAGAUGACAAUAUAAUCGUAUGGCCCAUCGAUGGUAUUUUUUGUUUCUGAAAUUGGCCCAUUAGCUAGAGUUUUGAGACAAAAAAAAACUGAUAUUUUUUUCCGGGAAGGUGAACGAAUAUGUUACUACUUUACUUUCCUUUUACUUUCCUUUCAAUUUUCUGUCGGUGGUGCUGAAACGUUUCUCCAUAAACAUCAAAUAAAUUUACUCAAUCGAAAACAAAUCAAAAGGAAUUUCCCUGAUUCAUGAUCAAAUCUUGCCCACCUUAAGGAGUUUUUUGUGGCUUCUUUUCAAGAUUGGUGAAGAAUCAUACACUCGCAGAGCAAAGUUUAUGGAACUUAUUUAAAUCAAGCUGUAGUUCGAGUAUCGUUAUCGUCUUCGAAGACACUCCUUUGAUCGAGAACCACCAUUGAAUGAUGAAGGCAAAGCUAAUGAUGAGAUAAGGUAACAAUGUUUUGAUCUUCUGAGAGUAAACAAGAGUACUCAAGUUAUAUGCAAUACCUUAUAAAAAGAUAAGUCUCUUUCUCUAAAAAAAUAUUACCACGAUUUCAAUUUGUGAGUAUGAGCAGAACUUUAUAAAUUUUUAUACUUAAGCUAAUUGAAUUUUAUAUAUCUGUUUCGGACAUCUUAUUACAGUGCUCGUUCAGAGGAGGUUCUAUCAUUCAAGGAAAAGUUGAAGAAAGGGAGAGUAAGAAGAAUUCACAUAUAAUGAAGGAUUUGAGGCUGUAACUUGGGGAUGGAACCUUGAUGCGGAGGUUUUGUUGGUAAUAGAAUUCAACAAUCUUUGAAAAACAGCACUCAAAGGGACAUCUUUUGUCUUGGCAGCAACUGGAUUGUAUAUGCUGUGAACAUAAAGAAACCAAUGCGUAUAACCGUGGGUUAACAUAAGCCGUGAGACAAGCGUAUUAAAACUUGAACUUAUGGCUAGUUGGUCGAUACUUCCCGGUUGCUGGAGUAACCGAGAAAUUCUCAAGGAACCUCCAUUCUCCAAUUUGCAAUCUCUUAACACGAGCGAGGAAGAGCCUCUUGCAGUGAAUUAUAUGAACUACAGAGAACACAGAAGAAAGUGUUGUGAUUCAAGUAAUGAAAUGAAGUAAACAUGUUUGUCCAAGCAGAGUCUGUAUGUAAGAUAAAAUCUAUAGAUAAGAGUUGUGUAUUGUAUUAUUCUUAUAAUUCUAGAUAACCACUCUAGGGUAAAAUUAUUUGAUAUCAGAAGGUUUAGUUUUAUGACCGGAUGCUGGUAUGAUUUUAAUAUAAAAUCGAUUUAUUCAUUAAGAAGGGUAUAACUAAUAUCGCAUGUAACUAUCAAGGAAAGGUCCGAAAAAUUAAAACAACUUCUAUCAGUAGAAUUUUUUUAGGACUCUGUUUUAAUAGAGUAGAUAAAAGACAAUAAGGAGGUUGUAUUUUUUUUUUUUUGAUAGAAAAAGUGCUAAACUGAGGGAAAAAUAAUUAAGAAUCACAUACUAGACAUAUUCUUAGAAGUUUAAUUAAGAACUAGAUCCUGACUCGUGCGCCCGCACGGAUUUGUUUUCAUUUUAUAUAUUAAUAUUUGUUUUAUAUGAUUAAUGGUAAAUAAAUUAACAUUAACCAUAUAAUAAAUUUAAACUCAGUCAUUUUUCAAAUACAAUAAUUGUAUACUUUACAUUAUAAAUAUAAUUUAUUGUUUUAAGUUGUCAUUUUGUGUUUCGUCUCAUAAACAUAAUUCCAGUAUAUUUAUGUAUACUAAUAAAACAAAAUCUAAAAUUUAUAUGCUAUGAUUUAUCAUUUUUAUGUGAGUAAAUUGUUGUUUCAAUUGUAAAUAGCUAAAUUAAGCAUAUAUAAACAAAUGAACAAAAGUAUGGAUCAUAUUUGUUUUAUAUGAUUGUAGUAUAUAUUGUUAGCACGUUAACUGUUUGAAAUAAUUAAAUAAAUUAAUAAUUUCAGAAACAUAAGUUGAAUUGUUUUCAUUCAAUUAUAUGUAUUGUAAAUUUUAUAAGUAAUAGUUUAUUGAAUAUUUAAUAUUUUGUAGUAUUUAGUAAAUAUUACCAAAACGUUGUAGUGUUUUCCUAUGACGGUGAUGGAUCUUUAAAUGUAUACUAUGCAAAAUAAUUAAUUUGACAAAUAUGAAUAUUUGGGACAAUCUCUAGAAAAGUAUUAUAAAAAUGUUUGAUGCCAUUAUCACUGGUUUAGACAAAGGUUUUCAACGUUAUUAGAAAAUACGUUUCUUUUAAGAAUUUAUAAUAAAAUAAAAUUAACUAAUAAAAUAAUAAACUAUGUUAGCAUUUACCACAAAUAUAUUCCAUAUUUUUUAUUUUCUAUUAUCGAUAUAAAUACAUAACUAAUGUAUAUGAUAUAUGGUUUGUAAAGAACUCUGAAUCUGAUUAAAAAAAUUGAUAUGUUACAGGUUUAUGUUUUGGCAUUUAGUAGAGAAAUUUUAGGACUUUUUCUUUUAGAUUUGAGAUUUUUUUAAGAAAUCAAAGAUUGCAAUCUUUUAAGUUUAUUUAACAGCUAAAUAUUAGGCAAUUUCGUAACACACAUACGAUUUUUAUGGAAACUGGUAUUUAUUUUGUCUUUUGUAAAUUUAUUUAUUAACAUAUAUUAGGGUUAAUAGUAAAAAAAUAGAGUGGCUUUAGACGUAAUAAAAAUAUAUUUAAGGGUAAAUUCAUAUUUGUAUUUGCGUUUUAAUCAAUUUUUUUUGUCAGCUCUUUUUUUUUAGUUUUAAUCGAUUAGAUUCGUAACAAAAAUCAUUUAUCAAUUUUUUUUCUUAUAAAGAUUUGUUAUAGAUAUCUUAGGCAAUAAUGGAACAUAAUAUAUUAAUUUAACGUAGUAUAUAAAUAAUUUAAUUGUUAAGAUAGUUGUUCAAAAAACUGCAUGUGUCACAUAUAUUUAUUUUAAAAUUUUCGAAUUAAAUGUUCUUAAUUAAUUUUAUUAAAUUGUUUUAAUGAAAUUGUGUUUAAUUAAUGUUAUAAUAUGUUCAAAUUUAUUAGAGAGGCUAUGAUGAAGCUAAAUUGUAAAUAUAAUUGUUACUGAAAAAGUUAAUUAAUUUUAUUAGUUAGUUAGUUAGUUAUGAAAUUGAUUUAAGUGAUAUGUUUUAAAUUUGGAAAUAACAUUAAAUGCUUAAAGUUAGGAUUAGUUAGUUUUGCAGUAGCAUAAGAUGUAAUUAAAUAGUAAGUUUAAGGAUAAAUUUAUAUUUGUACUUGAGUUUUAAUAAUAUAGAUCAUUUUAAAUUUAAUAGUGAUAUAUGAGUUAUUAGUUAUUAACAUAUUUCAGAAAAUACAAAAAAAAAAAAAAAUUAU